rnacentral:misc_RNA from 1 species
GGAAAUUCUUAGUCUUUACAAUAGCAUGAUUUGAAAAAGAGGAUUCCGGGAGCCAGGGAAAAUGAUGUAUGGAGUCUAUGUGAUGGGUCAUCAGAGUCGGAGAAGAGGUGAAAUCGGUCUGUUAAUCCAUUGUCUGGUGUUCAAAUACAAUUGCCACAUCAAAAUACCACCAAACAUUAUCAAUCCAUCAAGACUUUACAACCAUGGACCUUUAUACAUAAAGCAGUUCUGACAGCUAAUUCUUAUCGAUACGUCUGAU